CGGCGGCGGUGGCUGGCUCCCAUCUCGGCUUUUUGCGCGGCCAAAAACGGCCACGGAGCUGGAAAAUCGAAACUGGCAACAAGAUGUGGCUGCCAUUAAUUACCGUAGCGGCAACACUGAGCUUCUCCAGCCCGUAAGUGGGGGAUUCCCACUCGGGCAUUGUUUGAGUCUGUUGAAAAUUUACCAAACAAAAUGUAGAAAUAACCAACGCAAUAAUUGCAAAAGUUCUACUUUUGUAAUUGUGAUUUGGAGAAACAAAUAUUCGCUGCUCGUUCCUAUGGAUCGUAUGAUAUGUGCCCGGGAUAGGAAAGAAGACUAUAUCUGUUACAUAGAUGUUUAAUCCAUUCAAGUAUUUCCCAUCAGGACGAUUUGUGACUUCUUAUACAUAUGUCCCAAAGAAACCCGAAUCUGGCGUUCCUACAAAUGCCUGUCGCAUUGUAGCGCCGAUCCCGAGAUCUUUAUCUGGACCUUGACCUGUGGCUGUGGUGGAAGCCCUUAUCCGACAUUGGCGGCGACAAUGCGACAUUCGUGAGCAGCAGAAGCGGAGCAUCUCCGCUGAUGCUGAUGCCGAUGCUGACACCUUUGCUGCUCUCGGGAAGAGGAGUCAUGAGAACGCAGACGCAGACGCGGGCAAAUUAGAAUAACUUAAAUACACGGCGGCACGCAUUAAGCGGCACCGGGUUCCGGGGCAGCGAUAUUAUCAUCUGAAUCGGCAUCGCCAGCGAGCCGCUGCGAAUCCUUUUUCACUCUUCUCUCGCCCGCUAUCAAAAAGUAAUAAAUCUGCCGCUGAUCCAUC